UCAGCACCACUAGCCCUGGGCAUCCCACGAGCAAGAGCCAUACGCAAGCGCCCCAUCCCUCUCUCCCCGUUGUUGUGCGGUAGUCCAAAGGCCACCCUGCAAGCGCCGUGGCUCUCCUCUACAAGAGAAAACAUUGGCCACCUGAAUGGCAAAUAUACAAUCCUUAUUAAUGCAGCUCUUCCAUGCUCAUGUCAUUUUCCACAUCCAUCUAGACGCAUACCAGGUUUCCUUGUUUUCAAUUACACUUUUUUUUUUACAAGUUGGUGACUGCCUUUCUCUGUCUGUAAAUUAGAAUGUUGAAGAUUUUCCAGCAAGUGUGAAAAGGAAAGGUCACACAUCUCUCUAUCAACUCUGAAAACCACCUUGAAUCUGCUUAAAAUAAAUUAAAUUAAUAUCUCAAUAAUAUUCAUUGGAAAAGACUUCCAAAAAUGAUAAAAUAAUUGGCCUAUGGGAAUCGACACAAAUUGUUAUGAUUGAGCCUCAUGGCUCUGUUACUGGCAGACGUGGGCGUAAGACUCCUCGAGAGUCAGAUACUCUCGAGGAGCGAGAAAGAAAGAGACUGCGAGAUAUCUUUGCAGCACCAUCUGACGAAGAGUCUUUUGAGGGGUUUACGGAGAGAAUGGAGGAGGGGCUGGUUAGCUCGGAGGAGGAUGAGAUGGAUUGGACUCGGGUGAGGGAGGAAUUGGGUGCCACUGGCAAUGAUGGGAUGGAAGAUGAAUGGGGACCUUCAGGAUUAGACCCAUGGACAAGCUGGAGGGAUGGGACGGGAUCCACAGCUGGGGAUGCUGUGGGGCGUAGUCAGAGGUGUUCCAGCUCUGAUGAGGAAAGUGAUGAGGAAACGCCCGGGUUAAGGAGGGCAGCUGAUAGUGAUGAGGAUUUGUAACUGGCAUAAAAUGAGGCUUGGGAGCAAUUGCAAAUUGCGUUGGGCAAGGUAAUCUGGACGAACGCUUGGGAUCUGUGUGGGACGCUUUCCUGAAGACUGGUGUGUUUUCGUGUGCUGAUACCUUUGACCUUCCGUCGUCUUCUUGACGGACGCCAUCUCCUGCUUUGGAUUUCGGACUGAACUGACCACGGCUUGACUUCCCCCUACUCGGACUUGGUGAAUCUACAAACGUCUGCUUCUGGCUUGAACUACGGAAAGGAACUGGGUCUACUCUACUGCUUCAAUCCUCGGCUGAUCUGUGUGUAUUGGAAAUCUUGCCUGCUGUGUGGAGGAGUGACUCAAGUUACUCAAAGCACAGUGCUGGCAGCAGAGAGGAAUCUGCUGCCAAUUAAUUGCAUUCUUUUGAACACUUUGUUCCCCGGCUUCUGUUUUGUUUAUCCCCAGGCUGAAGCAAGCUGUUUUGUUUUUACCCGGAUUAAACUCCGGUUUAAUCCGGUUUAUCUUUUGAACGUUUUUCCUUGCCCCUUUUUGCUUUUAAAGGCUAAUACUGCCUGGCCCUUGUAUUUUACGGGCAUUUUGAGUUCUGUUAUCCAAUAAACUCUGUUAUCUUUGA